UACGUAGGGUGCAAGCGUUAAUCGGAAUUACUGGGCGUGAAGCGUGCGCAGGCGGUUUUGUAAGUCUGUCGUGAAAUCCCCGGGCUCAACCUGGGAAUUGCGAUGGAGACUGCAAGGCUAGAAUCUGGCAGAGGGGGGUAGAAUUCCACGUGUAGCAGUGAAAUGCGUAGAGAUGUGGAGGAACACCGAUGGCGAAGGCAGCCCCCUGGGUCAAGAUUGACGCUCAUGCACGAAAGCGUGGGGAGCAAACAGG
rnacentral:rRNA from 1 species